rnacentral:rRNA from 1 species
UACGGGGGGGGGCAAGCGUUGUUCGGAAUUACUGGGCGUAAAGGGUUCGUAGGUGGCCAACUAAGUCAGACGUGAAAUCCCUCAGCUUAACUGGGGAACUGCGUCUGAGACUGGAUGGCUUGAGUGCAGGAGAGGAACGCGGAAUUCCAGGUGUAGCGGUGAAAUGCGUAGAUAUCUGGAGGAACACCGGUGGCGAAGGCGGCAUCCUGGACCAACACUGACACUGAGGAGCGAAAGCCAGGGGAGCAAACGGG